rnacentral:lncRNA from 1 species
AGUUGGCAUGAAAUGUCUACCCUAAUCUAAGGUGGCAGCACAUCGCAUCUUUCCUAAGCAUGGACUAUCUUAUAUUUACUUAGUGAUCAUGAAGAACAGUUGUAUAAACAUUAUACUUAAAAUCACAGAAAUUAAAUAUGAUUCAAAAGAAGAUAUCCAUUAAAAACAAUAAGUUCAUACAACCCCAAGAAUAUAAAAUAAAAUAUAAAACCCAUGUCCCUGUGCUAGGGCUGCAUGCAGCCCUAGAGAGGAGAUCAGCCUUCCAUAGAGUCGUGGGCGACAGCAGCAGUGGCACAGCAGCGGGCUCCCAUUUCUUCUUUUCUUCCUCCCUUCCUUGGGUCUCUCCUUCCUUCUCUAGCAAUUUAUUAUUUUUUUCUUUUGGGAAGUCAUACCCAAAAAGACCCAAAGUAUUCUCUCCCUCCUCUGUUUCCUGUGGGACUUCCACCCGAGAAGAGAU